GGUCGAUUAGCUCAGUUGGUUAGAGCGUGGUGCUAAUAGAUCUUUAUCAUGUCACGCCAAGGCCGAGGGUUCGACCCCCUCAUUGACCA